UCUGCUCUGUUGCAGGUGCUUCUCCCUGAGGGAUGGAAGCAGACCCUCCAAAGGAGCAGCAAGAGUGGGUCAGUCGGGCCAUUUUCAUCAGGGCAAGCAGCUCAAAUGUGUCCGAAAAGCCAGCUUGAGCUGUGGUACUUCCCUCCUCUGCCUCCUAACAUCAGCCAUCAGCCUCCAGCUUCUCCCUCCGCCUACUUCCUCCGGCCAUUCUGUUCUGGAUGCCCUACCGCGUGGGCCUUUAAGUUUGUGUGCACCCAGCCCGGUGCAAGCGUCAAAAGCUCACAGGCUGUGGGGUUACAAGACAUCCGGAGGGUGCUUGACAUGGACGGCUGGUAUUAUAUGGGGACAGAGUACCUGGAGUGCCGCCUCUGUAAGAAAAAGCUAGCAGGAUGGUCGCUGGAUAUCUUGGACAGCUGGCGCAAGUCAUCGCUCCAUUUUCCCAGCCAUCUUGACUUACAGGCUGUCCUGUGACCUGAAGGUGGUCAGGCUGAUGAGAGAGAGGACACUGGGGAACAGUGGACCAGGCUGUACAACCAGCUGAGGGAGCAGCACAGCCUGACCUGGAUGAGUCGGACCCUGUACUACCUGUCGUCUGUGACCACUUUGUAGUCCCAGGUGCCGCACCACUGAGGGUAACACCUCCUCCUCCCUUUUUGGAGUGCCCUCAGCCCAGUGGCUGCUGACUGUCCACGGCUACGACGUUCUGUUCCAGCUGGAGGACUUCAAGGCCAGAGUCACCUCCAUCUUUGGGUCCAUCCUGAAGAUGGAUUCAACCAAGAAGGUGACCAAGAAACUAGCUGGGGCAGCACCACGGGACAGCAGCGUGGGCCACAAAUGUGGGCAAUGAGUAGGGCCAGGUGCUCAUUACGGUCCUCACUGACAGCGAAGGAGAGGGCCUGCUCCACAUGGCAGCUGGCCUCCAGCAGCGCUACAGUAGAGCUGGAGUGGCACCUCCCAAGCUGCUCUACGUCACCGGGACUGCUGCGCCCUGAUGGGAAAGGGGAAGACGGCAGCCAUGUUCAGCCAGUGGGAUGAACUCAUCGUCCGGCUGGAUGUGGGCACCUCAUCCGUCGCUUUGCUCGGGGAGUGACAACAGAGAGCCAUCCUCUGUAUGCUCUCUUUUUGCGGCGGCUCUCCUCCUGCAUGUUGGUGUGGUGUGCAGAGGAUGUGGAGCGCCUGCUGAGGCCAAGCGAGGUGAGCUCAAGGGGAGCCACAUCACGGGCUCAGCGACGCACAGGUGUGAAAGAGGAUCAGCCUGAAGGAGA